rnacentral:lncRNA from 1 species
CGCGAGUCACGCCAUGCAUAGGAUUCGAGAAUUGUGGUCGCCCAAGCCUGCACGUGCCAUGCGUUAAAGAGAUGGACCUACUGGACCGGAUGUUUGUUUGCAACAUCCCGAUUUGAACAUGGGGAGGGCCGGACUCGUCGGGUGCUUGUCGGCUACAUCGAAAUAGCAUUGAUCGAUCGAAAGGGAUCGAUCGGCAUUAAUCAACCGAAAUAGUGAGC